rnacentral:rRNA from 1 species
GACGAACGCUGGCGGCGUGCUUAACACAUGCAAGUCGAGCGGUAAGGCCCUUUCGGGGGUACACGAGCGGCGAACGGGUGAGUAACACGUGGGUGACCUGCCCUUAGCUCUGGGAUAAGCCUGGGAAACUGGGUCUAAUACCGGAUAUGACUCCAUGACGCAUGUUGUGGGGUGGAAAGCCUUGUGCGGCUAGGGAUGGGCCCGCGGCCUAUCAGCUUGUUGGUGGGGUGANGGCCUACCAAGGCGACGACGGGUAGCCGGCCUGAGAGGGCGACCGGCCACACUGGGACUGAGACACGGCCCAGACUCCUACGGGAGGCAGCAGUGGGGAAUCUUGCGCAAUGGGCGAAAGCCUGACGCAGCGACGCCGCGUGGGGAUGACGGCCUGGUGU